rnacentral:rRNA from 1 species
UGGGGAAUCUUGCGCAAUGGGCGAAAGCCUGACGCAGCCAUGCCGCGUGUAUGAUGAAGGUCUUAGGAUUGUAAAAUACUUUCACCGGGGAAGAUAAUGACGGUACCCGGAGAAGAAGCCCCGGCUAACUUCGUGCCAGCAGCCGCGGUAAUACGAAGGGGGCUAGCGUUGCUCGGAAUUACUGGGCGUAAAGGGCGCGUAGGCGGACAGUUUAGUCAGAGGUGAAAGCCCAGGGCUCAACCUUGGAAUUGCCUUUGAUACUGGCUGUCUUGAGUUCGGGAGAGGUGAGUGGAAUGCCGAGUGUAGAGGUGAAAUUCGUAGAUAUUCGGCGGAACACCAGUGGCGAAGGCGACUCACUGGCCCGAUACUGACGCUGAGGCGCGAAAGCGUGGGGAGCAAACAGG